CCUACGGGUGGCAGCAGUGGGGAAUAUUGGACAAUGGGCGAAAGCCUGAUCCAGCCAUGCCGCGUGUGUGAAGAAGGCCUUCGGGUUGUAAAGCACUUUCAGUGGGGAAGAAAGCCUUGGGGCUAAUACCCUCGAGGAAGGACAUCACCCACAGAAGAAGCACCGGCUAACUCCGUGCCAGCAGCCGCGGUAAUACGGAGGGUGCUAGCGUUAAUCGGAAUUACUGGGCGUAAAGCGCGCGUAGGCGGUCUGAUAAGCCGGUUGUGAAAGCCCCGGGCUCAACCUGGGAACGGCAUCCGGAACUGUCAGGCUAGAGUGCAGGAGAGGAAGGUAGAAUUCCCGGUGUAGCGGUGAAAUGCGUAGAGAUCGGGAGGAAUACCAGUGGCGAAGGCGGCCUUCUGGACUGACACUGACGCUGAGGUGCGAAAGCGUGGGUAGCAAACAGGAUUAGAUACCCGAGUAGUC
rnacentral:rRNA from 1 species